rnacentral:rRNA from 1 species
AUUGAACGCUGGCGGCAGGCCUAACACAUGCGAGUCGAGCGGAUGAAGGGAGCUUGCUCCUGGAUUCAGCGGCGGACGGGUGAGUAAUGCCUAGGAAUCUGCCUGGUAGUGGGGGAUAACGUCCGGAAACGGGCGCUAAUACCGCAUACGUCCUGAGGGAGAAAGUGGGGGAUCUUCGGACCUCACGCUAUCAGAUGAGCCUAGGUCGGAUUAGCUAGUUGGUGGGGUAAAGGUCUACCAAGGCGACGAUCCGUAACUGGUCUGAGAGGAUGAUCAGUCACACUGGAACUGAGACACGGUCCAGACUCCUACGGGAGGCAGCAGUGGGGAAUAUUGGACAAUGGGCGAAAGCCUGAUCCAGCCAUGCCGCGUGUGUGAAGAAGGUCUUCGGAUUGUAAAGCACUUUAAGUUGGGAGGAAGGGCAGUAAGUUAAUACCUUGCUGUUUUGACGUUACCAACAGAAUAAGCACCGGCUAACUUCGUG